rnacentral:rRNA from 1 species
CCUACGGGGGGCUGCAGUGAGGAAUAUUGGUCAAUGGGCGCGAGCCUGAACCAGCCAAGCAGCGUGAAGGAUGAAUGCCCUUCGGGUUGUAAACCUCUUUUAUAAAGGAAUAAAGUGAGGCACGUGUGCCUCUUUGUAUGUACCUUAUGAAUAAGGAUCGGCUAACUCCGUGCCAGCAGCCGCGGUAAUACGGAGGAUCCGAGCGUUAUCCGGAUUUAUUGGGUUUAAAGGGCGCGUAGAUGGGUUGUUAAGUCAGUUGUGAAAGUUUGCGGCUCAACCGUAAAAUUGCAAUUGAUACUGGCAGCCUUGAGUACAGUAGAGGUAGGCGGAAUUCGUGGUGUAGCGGUGAAAUGCUUAGAUAUCGCGAAGAACUCCGAUUGCGAAGGCAGCUUACUAAACUGCCACUGACAUUGAUGCUCGAAAGUGUGGGUAUCAAACAGGAUUAGAUACCCUUGUAGUC